GAAGCUGAAUGCUCCUGCAUUUAAACUGGACAAAAAGUUCUGUCUGUUGAGAAAGAGUUGCUGUCCUGAAAAUUGCUCGUUUAGGGCUUUAUUCAGAAAGGUUACCUAACUUCAAGUGUUUUAGCAGGUGAUGUCUGUGUGCAACAGAAAAUACAUCAUUCAUGGGGCUAGACCAGGUGUGAGAAGACCACUGCUUCUGUCACCUGGUUGCUGAGGUAUUUACCUCACAGAAAGUGAAAUCUCCUCAACUGAAUAUGAAGUUGUAAGCUGCUGGUGCUUUUCACUGUCCAUGAAAACUUUCCUGACAACACCCAAAUCUUCUUUUGCUUGUGAGAAAUGUUUUGCUUUGGACCUUCCAAAACAAGCCUCAAGGCAUUUUGGUGGUACAGACCAUAUGGCAAAAUUGCUAAAUUAUUAAAUCUACAGACUGGUAUACAAGCAAUGCUUUGAAUUUAUCCACCAACCAAAGAAUUGCCAAGCUGUAUGAUGCAUUCAGCUUGUGGAUGUGAACUGGAUUGGAAACAUGCACGAGAAGGAAAAGGCGAGUAAAGACGGGCCUCCAGACAGUAUGCAAGUACAGACAAAAGGAACAGGAACAGUAUAAACCUGAGACCUGGUACAUAGAGACAUCCUCCGAGAGAUCCUUGAGACAGAUGCCUUGAGAACCAUUUUGAGAACCAACCUUUAAGAAGCAUUUGAAUUGGAAAAAGCUGAAAAUGAGUUCUUCAAUG